GAAGCGGCUUCGUCCCAGCUUUCCCGGAACGCGCACCCAGACCCAGUUCACGGGGACGGGGGAAGAGAAAUCGUCCGCACACACCCAACCUCGCGGACAGCCCAGCCAACUACCGCAGCUGCCGGCUCGCAGCCGCCGCAGAGGCCGGCGGCCGAGGCUGGGCACCCCGCGGCCUCAAGCCCGAGGGAGGCCCUUCGCCGGGGAGGUGCCACAUUCCAGCCCCGGGGCCAGGGAGUCCCGACCGUGCCCUCGCCCCCAGCAAGCGCCGAGCCAGCGCCUCGCGCCAGGCCGGCCUCGUCCGCCAGCUCCGCCGGCCCCUCCCUAACACCGUCACACACACCCCCGAACCCCACCGGGGCAACGACUCACCCGGGCCCUCGGGGUAGAAAAUGCCCAGGGCGACUGCGGGCGGCCCCUCCCCAGGGAACGAGGCGGCGCGGCUGCCGAAGCAGGUUUUCGGCUUCUGGAACCCUCCUCCUUCCAGGCCGGGGGGGGGGGGGCCAAAAAAGGCUCCUUCCGGGGGGCGGUGCCGCUGCUCCCCUCUCCGGCUCGCCUGAAACUUUACCGGGUUCCUCAGAGGAAAGCGGCCACCACCGCUGUCCAGUCCAGAGACAGCAGUCAGCGACCCGGAUGGAGAGGGCGGGGAAGGACUGGAGGCGAGCUGGGCGGAGAGCGCGAGGGGUGGAGAGAGUUAGGGAAAGAGGCAGGGGAGAAGGGAGAGGGGGAGGUGGCCAGGCAGGGGGUGGGGGUGGGGAGGGGUGGCCGGAAGUGAGUCGCGGAGCACGCGCGCGAACCCAGCUACUUCCCGGCCCGCGCGCCUGCGCGGGAAUCCUCCCGGGGCGCGUCGACCCUGCGCUUGCGCAGUGUGCAGCUGCGCGUAGUGGUGGCUUGCGGAGACGAACCCAGAAGGCGUUAGUUAAGGUGUUUUUAGCAGCGCCUGUGCUUUUUAAUGAAGCAGAUCUCUUCGGUUUUUGUUUUGGUUGGCUUUCUGCUCGUAGGUUUAGUCGUUGUAUUUUAUUCUGCCGUUUCCAGGGGCGAUUUUCAAGUACAGGUGGAACUAACAAAUACGGAUAUAGAGGCAACUGA
rnacentral:lncRNA from 1 species